rnacentral:rRNA from 1 species
CCUACGGGUGGCAGCAGUGAGGAAUAUUGGUCAAUGGGCGCGAGCCUGAACCAGCCAAGUAGCGUGAAUGAUGACUGCCCUACGGAUUGUAAGCUUCUUUUAUAAAGAAGUAAAGUGAGGCACGUGUGCCAUUUUGCUUGUACUUUAUGAAUAAGGAUCGGCUAACUCCUUGCCAGCGGCCGCGGUAAUACGGAGGAGCCGAGCGUUAACCGGAUUUAUUGGGGUUAAAGGGAGCGUAGGUGGGUUGGUAAGUCAGUUGUGAAAGUUUGCGGCUGAACCGUAAAACUGCAAUUGAUACUGGCAGGCUGGAGUACAGUUGAGGUAGGCGGAAUUCGUGGUGUAGCGGUGAAAUGCUUAGAUAUUACGAAGAACUCCGAUGGCGAAGGCAGCUUACUAAACUGCAACUGACAUUGAUGCUCGAAAGUGUGGGUAUCAAACAGGAUUAGAUACCCGAGUAGUC